rnacentral:rRNA from 1 species
CGCUCUUAGUUUCCAUGGUUACUUUGAUUACACUAGCUGUCAUGGUAACCUGGAUAAAACAGCUUGCACCUCAAAGUAAAGUCGGGGUAUUGUUUAGCUUAAAUUUUUCAAAAGUGUGGUCUGAAAUUUAUUUUAGCUAAGUAGCAUUUGGGGUUUUCACGGCGGAGAAUACGAAGAUGGAUAUCCGGUAGAAGUUUACUUCUGCCAGACUACAAAGAGCUACAAUCAAGAAGACAGUCUCUGAUCAAGAACGAAAGUUAGAGGUUCGAAGGCGAUCAGAUACCGCCCUAGUUCUAACCUUUUAACGAAGAUUAAGCAAUAUAAAACUUCAUCCAAGUACUGAUACUUUCUUCCUGUAAGACGACUUUGCGCUCUUCUGCGAGAAAGGCCUAGUGUCAGGUAGGUAAAGGCGUGAAAGAGCAAUCUCUUUUACGGGAUC